AUAACUUGGCAGCUACCUAUGGCUGACUACGGCUUGCUAAGAAAAACCCUGUACUGUUCUUCACCUACAUCUAAUUGCAAUUACGCACAAGGUCCAUCCACAUAGCCAAGUAACGGGAAGAAGAAUGAAUGUUAUCACCUGUGGCUUCUUGAUUCAGGAAUCAGUAAAGAACAUGUUUUUUGUCUUUGUCGGGAAGAGAUUCAACUCGUUCUUCUAACCCUAUGAAUGAUCAUCUUUAUCAAAAGGUACAGACACCCACCAAGAGGGGACAUAUAUUGUCUGUGGUUUCUUUACUGACCCCCACCUCUUUCAAGGACAGGUGCAGGCAUCUGGGUGAUGGCAAGAGAUGUUCACUUGAAGGUAUUGUUCUGAUUGAAGGUCUGGCUGAAAGAAGUUUCUGGGACCUGUUGAUAGAGCCACAGCUGGGUUCAGAAAACUGUGAUGUUAGCCAGCGUCAUGUGUUCUCCACCAAAAAAGUCCUCAUUAUCAAGUGAGCAUCCAGCAGCCCCAGAAGUCACCCCACCUCCUCAUUUCUAUGCUCUGUAGCCUGCUUGUUGUGGUGCAUGAUGCCCAAGGUGGGCAGGUACUGGCUGGUAACACUACAUUGCUAUCAACAAAGUUCACCCAUUGUGCCA